UCGUUGUGAUCAGACGACAAUAUAGCUGUUUAGUGCUAUUUUGUCAUUCCCCCUGCUCAAAGUAAAGUUGUUUCUUAGCUAUCCCUGUCUGCUAGUUUCGUGUAGCAGCCCAGGGAUGCUUGGUCUCAUACAU
ensembl:snoRNA SNORA63 Small nucleolar RNA SNORA63